rnacentral:rRNA from 1 species
GAUGAACGCUGGCGGCGUGCCUAAUACAUGCAAGUCGAGCGAACCACUUCGGUGGUGAGCGGCGAACGGGUGAGUAACACGUAGGUGAUCUGCCCAUCAGACGGGGACAACGAUUGGAAACGAUCGCUAAUACCGGAUAGGACGAAAGUUUAAAGGUGCUUCUGGCACCGCUGAUGGAUGAGCUCGCGGCGCAUUAGCUAGUUGGUAGGGUAAAGGCCUACCAAGGCGACGAUGCGUAGCCGACCUGAGAGGGUGAACGGCCACACUGGGACUGAGACACGGCCCAGACUCCUACGGGAGGCAGCAGUAGGGAAUCUUCGGCAAUGGGCGAAAGCCUGACCGAGCAACGCCGUGUGAAUGAUGAAGGCCUUCGGGUUGUAAAAUUCUGUUAUAAGGGAAGAACGACUUUAGUAGGAAAUGGCUAGAGUGUGACGGUACCUUAUGAGAAAGCCACGGCUAACUACGUGCCAGCCGCCGCGGUAA